ACCCUAAAUUAUUCUUCCUCACAAUUCCUCUCAUCUCUCAAGGUGAUUCUUUAUCUUACAAUAUUCCCUUCAUCAUCUUUGUGUGUUCUUGCACAUCUUCAUUUUCUUCAAGGUAAAGUGGCGGCUCUUCUCUCAAACCCUAAUUUUCAUCGAAAACUUGAUACAGAUCUAUCGCAAACCCUAAAAUUCACAGCUUCCCAUUCACGCUUCUUUCUUAGAAUAAUAUGCUCCAUUCAAAGGUUAGGUGAUCUAGAUUUUUUGGUUCUUCUUCUUUCAAACCCUUAAUCUCCUCUAAAGUUGUGUCUUCAAUAUUCCUUCCUCGCUCUCUGGAUCUCCCUGUAAUUGUGUAUGAUUGAAACAUUGGAGCAUUUGAUUACGGAAUAUGAUCGGGUUCAAAUAAAACUGAGGUACAACAUCAGAUAGUGCUUUUUGUUGGAAUGACAUGUGGUAUAAUGAUGCUUCUCUUUACAAGCUUCUGGGGAGAAUGGGCACUCACUGGUAAUAACAUCUCUCUUUUCAUUGUCAUGUAAUUGAUGCCUUUAACCCAGGCUAUUGAUAUUGAUAAUAAUUAGACUUAAUUAAAAACACGAGUAUUGUUUUUUGUUUAAAAGUAGUACAAGCAAUAUAAAGGAUCUUGAUCUUUGUAGCACAAAUAACACCAUGUUCCUUGACAUUCAUUGUUGGUGUCUGUUGUAGUUUUUUGAUCUUCAAUUGAGGCUAUCGGAAGUUGACGAGUCACCGGUGUCUAUUGUAGUUGUUUUGCUUUGUUGCCUGCAUUACUCAUUGCACUAGGGCAACCCGGAUGGUCAUGUGGUUUCACAUGGCAACCGUAAGUAUGCAGCCA
rnacentral:lncRNA from 1 species